rnacentral:lncRNA from 1 species
GGACCAUUCCUCUGCCUUUGGAGAUGCUUGCUGAGCAGCUGGGAAAGCACUGAUGUUGAGGAAUGGGAGAGAUGGUGCUACUCUGAGUCUUGCUCCACUGCCUCUGGUUGGACUUGCAUAGUUGGCCCUGCAAACCUCAAGCAUCCUCUCACAGCUCAGAUCAACAUCCUCUGCUCACUGCAAAUCCUCCUCUGGAAAGAAGCACAAGUGACCAUUCCUUGCACCUCGAAAUUCUUGGAGGUGUACUGGUCCUGGAGCCUCUGUGCUGUGCAGAUGAAGUCACGGGUGGACACAUCGCUGGGAGCGGGGAAAGAGGCGCGGGGACGAGCCCAGGGGCGUGCGGCACGGAAACAGUGCAGGAGCAGCCGACAUAGCCCCCACCAGAGCAGGGAGCAGCAUGCAGAGCCAGCCAGGCUCCUCACAGCUCCGGAUGAAGGGAGGAUGAGCAAUCCUCAGGAGCACCUGGAUAGGGUUUUGGCUGGGAGCAAAGAGAGCAUGGAGAGCGUCAGUGAGGAACCAGGCAUGGAGCUGGCUUUUUGCACUGGAGACAACGAUGGGAUUGAGGAAGAUGGAGAAACCUCAGAGGAGCUGCUGCCGAGUUUCCCCAGUGAGCUCUCAGUGCUGGAGAAAUUGGGACUGCACAGCACAAAUUUGACGGAGCAGGACGUGGAGGUGAGGGCUUGUGGGUGGGCUAGGGAAGGGGAAAGGAGAC